GACGAACGCUGGCGGCGUGCUUAACACAUGCAAGUCGAACGGAAAGGCCCUGCUUUUGUGGGGUGCUCGAGUGGCGAACGGGUGAGUAACACGUGAGUAACCUGCCCUUGACUUUGGGAUAACUUCAGGAAACUGGGGCUAAUACCGGAUAGGAGCUCCUGCUGCAUGGUGGGGGUUGGAAAGUUUCGGCGGUUGGGGAUGGACUCGCGGCUUAUCAGCUUGUUGGUGGGGUAGUGGCUUACCAAGGCUUUGACGGGUAGCCGGCCUGAGAGGGUGACCGGCCACAUUGGGACUGAGAUACGGCCCAGACUCCGACGGGAGGCAGCAGUGGGGAAUAUUGCACAAUGGGCGGAAGCCUGAUGCAGCAACGCCGCGUGCGGGAUGACGGCCUUCGGGUUGUAAACCGCUUUCGCCUGUGACGAAGAGUGAGUGACGGUAAUGGGUAAAGAAGCACCGGCUAACUACGUG
rnacentral:rRNA from 1 species